UGGCUCAGGACGAACGCUGGCGGCGUGCUUAACACAUGCAAGUCGAACGGUGAACCAGGGCUUGCCCUGGGGAUCAGUGGCGAACGGGUGAGUAACACGUGGGCAACCUGCCCCAGACUCUGGGAUAACUUCGGGAAACCGAAGCUAAUACCGGAUACGACUCGAGUGGGCAUCUACUCGAGUGGAAAGUUUUUCGGUCUGGGAUGGGCCCGCGGCCUAUCAGCUUGUUGGUGGGGUAAUGGCCUACCAAGGCGACGACGGGUAGCCGGCCUGAGAGGGCGAACGGCCACACUGGGACUGAGACACGGCCCAGACUCCUACGGGAGGCAGCAGUGGGGAAUAUUGCGCAAUGGGCGAAAGCCUGACGCAGCGACGCCGCGUGAGGGAUGAAUGCCUUCGGGUUGUAAACCUCUUUCAGCAGGGAUGAAGCGAAAGUGACAGUACCUGCAGAAGAAGCACCGGCUAACUACGUGCCAGCAGCCGCGGUAAUACGUAGGGUGCAAGCGUUGUCCGGAAUUAUUGGGCGUAAAGAGCUCGUAGGCGGUCUGUCACGUCGGAUGUGAAAAUCCAGGGCUCAACCCUGGACCUGCAUUCGAUACGGGCAGACUAGAAUUCGGUAGGGGAGACUGGAAUUCCUGGUGUAGCGGUGAAAUGCGCAGAUAUCAGGAGGAACACCGGUGGCGAAGGCGGGUCUCUGGGCCGAUAUUGACGCUGAGGAGCGAAAGCGUGGGGAGCGAACAGGAUUAGAUACCCUGGUAGUCCACGCCGUAAACGUUGGGCGCUAGGUGUGGGGAACAUUCCACGUUCUCCGUGCCGCAGCUAACGCAUUAAGCGCCCCGCCUGGGGAGUACGGCCGCAAGGCUAAAACUCAAAGGAAUUGACGGGGGCCCGCACAAGCGGCGGAGCAUGCGGCUUAAUUCGACGCAACGCGAAGAACCUUACCAAGGCUUGACAUAUAGGGAAAUCUCACAGAGAUGUGAGGUCCGCAAGGGCCCUAUACAGGUGGUGCAUGGUUGUCGUCAGCUCGUGUCGUGAGAUGUUGGGUUAAGUCCCGCAACGAGCGCAACCCUCGUCUAAUGUUGCCAGCACGUAAUGGUGGGACUCAUAGGAGACUGCCGGUGACAAACCGGAGGAGGGUGGGGAUGACGUCAAGUCAUCAUGCCCCUUAUGUUCUGGGCUACACACGUGCUACAUUGGCCGGUACAAAGGGCUGCAAACCCGUGAGGGGGAGCGAAUCCCAAAAAGCCGGUCCCGGUUCGGAUUGAAGGCUGAAACUCGCCUUCAU
rnacentral:rRNA from 1 species